rnacentral:lncRNA from 1 species
GUUGCAUUUGUUAAAAAUGCAGACUUCCAGCCACACCUCAGACCCACUGAAUCAGGGUUGGGCUGGGGAAAUCUGCAUUUUAAAUUAGCUCUCCACGGAACUUCUUAGGCCAACUAAAUACAACCAACGCUUUAAAGGAAAUGACCCACUUACAGAAAGACACACUGUGGAGGAGCAGCUGGACGAACUGGAAUGUGGUUGUGAUGGCUCGAGCAGUUCAGCUGGCACAUGAGGUGAUCUUGGGAAUAGAAACUACAACAGCCCUGGACCACCUCAGCUCCAGACCUUCACGUGAGAGAGAAACAAAAGACUACCUUGUUUAAGCCAUUGUUAUUUGGGGUCUUUUACUCCUAGCCAAAGUUAUUUCUAACUGAUACAGGAAGCUAAUGGUCAGUCCACUUUUUAAUGUGUUUGUUUAAGGUUGUUCUCAAUUUCUUAAAUUGGAUAGAUCGACAUGUCAGAGAAUUGAUUUAGGCGCCAGAACUAAUUAUCUUUGUACAAAUGGAAG